AACGAACGCUGGCGGCAUGCCUAACACAUGCAAGUCGAACGAAGGCUUCGGCCUUAGUGGCGCACGGGUGCGUAACGCGUGGGAAUCUGCCCUUGGUUCGGAAUAACAGCUGGAAACGGCUGCUAAUACCGGAUGAUGACGAAAGUCCAAAGAUUUAUCGCCAGAGGAUGAGCCCGCGUUGGAUUAGGUAGUUGGUGGGGUAAAGGCCUACCAAGCCGACGAUCCAUAGCUGGUCUGAGAGGAUGAUCAGCCACACUGGGACUGAGACACGGCCCAGACUCCUACGGGAGGCAGCAGUGGGGAAUAUUGGACAAUGGGCGCAAGCCUGAUCCAGCAAUGCCGCGUGAGUGAUGAAGGCCCUAGGGUUGUAAAGCUCUUUUACCCGGGAAGAUAAUGACUGUACCGGGAGAAUAAGCCCCGGCUAACUCCGUG
rnacentral:rRNA from 1 species